rnacentral:rRNA from 1 species
CUCGUAGGUGGCCAACUAAGUCGGACGUGAAAUCCCUCGGCUUAACCGGGGAACUGCGUCCGAUACUGGUUGGCUUGAGUUUGGGAGAGGGAUGCGGAAUUCCAGGUGUAGCGGUGAAAUGCGUAGAUAUCUGGAGGAACACCGGUGGCGAAGGCGGCGUCCUGGACCAAUACUGACGCUGAGGAGCGAAAGCCAGGGGAGCAAACG